AAUGCUAAUAUCAAUCAGCAUAGCAUAAACAAUAGAGCAAUAAAUCAAUCACACAGAGAGACCAAAUCUUUUUAACGUGGAAAACCCAAUGUGGGAAAAACCACGGGACCGUAGUCCACCUCAAACUUCCACUAUCAAUAAUGAUGAUAACAGGUUUACAGUAGGUCUUCUCUAGAAUAACUAGAGGAUCAGAAUAACAUCAAGAACAUAGAUCUUAGCUCAAG
rnacentral:lncRNA from 1 species